AUCUACAGCAGGCAGAAGAUGCUUUGUCUCAGGGCAUGGAAGCAUUAUAGCAGUCUCUAGCAGAGACAAUAGCAGGCUCUCUUGGCUCCUCAAAUUCGUCAGGCAACGUAGCCAAUUACAUGGGCCAGAUGGCCAUGGCUAAGGGUAAACUAGGAACACUAGAGGGCUUCAUUCGACAGGCUGAUAAUUUGAGUCAACAAACCUUGCAACAAAUGCAUAGGAUAUUGACGACACGC